rnacentral:rRNA from 1 species
GAUGAACGCUGGCGGUAUGCUUAACACAUGCAAGUCGAACGGUCACUUCGGUGAUAGUGGCGGACGGGGGAGUAACGCGUGAGAAUCUGUCUUCAGGUCGGGGACAACAGUUAGAAAUGACUGCUAAUACCGGAUGUGCCUUUGGGUGAAAGAUUUAUUGCCUGAAAAAGAGCUCGCGUCAGAUUAGCUAGUAGGUGGUGUAAGAGACUACCUAGGCUCCGAUCUGUAGCUGGUCUGAGAGGACGAUCAGCCACACUGGAACUGAGACACGGUCCAGACUCGUACGAGAGGCAGCAGUGGGGAAUUUUCCGCAAUGGGCGAAAGCCUGACGGAGCAAUACCGCGUGAGGGACGAAGGCUUUGGGGUCGUAAACCUCUUUUCUCAAGGAAGAUGAUGACGGUACUGGAGGAAUAAGCAUCGGCUAACUCUGU